rnacentral:rRNA from 1 species
UACGUAGGCAGCGAGCGUUGUUCGGAGUUACUGGGCGUAAAGCGUGCGUAGGCGGUGUCUUAAGUUUGUUGUGAAAUCUCCCGGCUUAACCGGGAGGGUGCGGCGAAUACUGAGAUGCUGGAGUGCCAGAGAGGUAAGCGGAAUUCCUGGUGUAGCGGUGAAAUGCGUAGAUAUCAGGAGGAACACCUGCGGUGUAGACGGCUUACUGGACGGUAACUGACGCUGAGGCACGAAAGCGUGGGUGGCAAACAGG